UACGUAGGGGGCAAGCGUUUGUCCGGAUUUAUUGGGCGUAAAGAGCGUGUAGGCGGCCUGAAAGGUCAGCUGUGAAAACUCGAGGCUCAACCUCGAGACGUCGGUUGAAACCAUCUGGCUAGAGUCCGGAAGAGGAGUGUGGAAUUCCCGGUGUAGCGGUGAAAUGCGCAGAUAUCGGGAAGAACACCCGUGGCGAAGGCGGCACUCUGGGGACGGUACUGACGCUGAGACGCGAAAAGCGUGGGGAGCGAACAGG
rnacentral:rRNA from 1 species